GGUCUCACUGUGCAGUUCAGGCUGAUCUUGAGCUCACUUUGUAGCCCAGGCUGGCCUUGAACUCACAACAAUCCUCCUGCCUCUGCCUCCCGAGUGCUGGGAUUACAGGCAUGUGCCACCAGGCCCG
ensembl:miRNA